GACGAACGCUGGCGGCGUGCUUAACACAUGCAAGUCGAACGGAAAGGCCCUGCUUUUGUGGGGUGCUCGAGUGGCGAACGGGUGAGUAACACGUGAGUAACCUGACCUUGACUUUGGGAUAACUUCAGGAAACUGGGGCUAAUACCGGAUAGGAGCUCAUGCUGCAUGGUGGGGGUUGGAAAGUUUCGGCGGUUGGGGAUGGACUCGCGGCUUAUCAGCUUGUUGGUGGGGUAGUGGCUUACCAAGGCUUUGACGGGUAGCCGGCCUGAGAGGGUGACCGGCCACAUUGGGACUGAGAUACGGCCCAGACUCCUACGGGAGGCAGCAGUGGGGAAUAUUGCACAAUGGGCGGAAGCCUGAUGCAGCAACGCCGCGUGCGGGAUGACGGCCUUCGGGUUGUAAACCGCUUUCGCCUGUGACGAAGCGUGAGUGACGGUAAUGGGUAAAGAAGCACCGGCUAACUACGUG
rnacentral:rRNA from 1 species